AGCCUGGAAUCAUAGUUUUGUAUCUUAUUUACAAUAAGGGGGUUGAUUUAAGUUCACCAGGUUA
rnacentral:tRNA from 1 species